AAAAUUAGGAUCAAAACAUAUAAAGAUUUAUUUUUAUUUUUUUUUCAAUAAGAUUCCAAUUUUAAUCAAUAACACAAUUUGUUUAGACUUAGUUUGAUAUUGAAGUCUAUCUGACGCUAUUAGAUAAAAUGGAGUUGGAGUAAAAGCAUUAAGUGAUAUAUUUCUACGUUCUCCGAUGGGACCGCACAAAACAUAUCGUAAUUAACUUAUUGCGAUAUGUGAAAAGGAAUAUUACGUAUGAAAACAAACAAAGUAUUUUUUCAUCGUAUUUUCUCAUCGCACGUAACACAACUUCUCUGCAAUUCCAAACGAAGUCUUACUAUGUUAUUAUUUACAAAAAUAAAUAAAAUAUUUUUAUUAUAUUUUUUGAAUGAUAUGUAAUAUAUUUUGUGAAACAAAUUGUGAUAUGAGUAAUCAGAAAAAC
rnacentral:lncRNA from 1 species